AGUGAACGCUGGCGGUAGGCCUAACACAUGCAAGUCGAACGGCAGCACAGUAAGAGCUUGCUCUUACGGGUGGCGAGUGGCGGACGGGUGAGGAAUACAUCGGAAUCUACUUUUUCGUGGGGGAUAACGUAGGGAAACUUACGCUAAUACCGCAUACGACCUACGGGUGAAAGCAGGGGAUCUUCGGACCUUGCGCGAUUGAAUGAGCCGAUGUUGGAUUAGCUAGUUGGCGGGGUAAAGGCCCACCAAGGCGACGAUCCGUAGCUGGUCUGAGAGGAUGAUCAGCCACACUGGAACUGAGACACGGUCCAGACCCCUACGGGAGGCAGCAGUGGGGAAUAUUGGACAAAGGGCGCAAGCCUGAUCCAGCCAUACCGCGUGGGUGAAGAAGGCCUUCGGGUUGUAAAGCCCUUUUGUUGGGAAAGAAAAGCAGCAGGUUAAUACCCCGCUGUUCUGACGGUACCCAAAGAAUAAGCACCGGCUAACUUCGUG
rnacentral:rRNA from 1 species